rnacentral:rRNA from 1 species
UGAACGCUGGCGGCGUGCCUAAUACAUGCAAGUCGAGCGAACAGACGAGGAGCUUGCUCCUCUGACGUUAGCGGCGGACGGGUGAGUAACACGUGGAUAACCUACCUAUAAGACUGGGAUAACUUCUGGAAACCGGAGCUAAUACCGGAUAAUAUAUUGAACCGCAUGGUUCAAUAGUGAAAGACGGUUUUGCUGUCACUUAUAGAUGGAUCCGCGCCGCAUUAGCUAGUUGGUAAGGUAACGGCUUACCAAGGCAACGAUGCGUAGCCGACCUGAGAGGGUGAUCGGCCACACUGGAACUGAGACACGGUCCAGACUCCUACGGGAGGCAGCAGUAGGGAAUCUUCCGCAAUGGGCGAAAGCUUGACGGAGCAACGCCGCGUGAGUGAUGAAGGUCUUCGGAUCGUAAAACUCUGUUAUUAGGGAAGAACAAAUGUGUAAGUAACUAUGCACGUCUUGACGGUACCUAAUCAGAAAGCCACGGCUAACUACGUG